AGUGGCGGACGGGUGAGUAACGCGUGAGAAUCUGCCUUGGGGUCGGGGACAACCACUGGAAACGGUGGCUAAUACCGGAUACGCCUUCUGGUAAAAGAUUUAUUGCCCUAAGAGGAGCUCGCGUCUGAUUAGCUAGUUGGUGAGGUAAGAGCUCACCAAGGCAGCGAUCAGUAGCUGGUCUGAGAGGACGAUCAGCCACACUGGGACUGAGACACGGCCCAGACUCCUACGGGAGGCAGCAGUGGGGAAUUUUCCGCAAUGGGCGAAAGCCUGACGGAGCAAGACCGCGUGAGGGAGGAAGGCUCUUGGGUUGUAAACCUCUUUUCUCAGGGAAGAAGCUCUGACGGUACCUGAGGAAUCAGCCUCGGCUAACUCCGUGCCAGCAGCCGCGGUAAUACGGAGGAGGCAAGCGUUAUCCGGAAUUAUUGGGCGUAAAGCGUCCGCAGGUGGCGAUUCAAGUCUGCUGUCAAAGCACGGGGCUUAACUCCGUAAAGGCAGUGGAAACUGAAUAGCUAGAGUGCCGUAGGGGUAGAGGGAAUUCCCGGUGUAGCGGUGAAAUGCGUAGAGAUCGGGAAGAACAUCGGUGGCGAAAGCGCUCUACUGGACGGCAACUGACACUCAGGGACGAAAGCUAGGGGAGCGAAUGGGAUUAGAUACCCC
rnacentral:rRNA from 1 species